rnacentral:rRNA from 1 species
GACGUAGGGCGCGAGCGUUGUCCGGAAUUAUUGGGCGUAAAGAGCUCGUAGGCGGCUUGUCGCGUCGGCUGUGAAAACUCGGGGCUCAACCCCGAGCCUGCAGUCGAUACGGGCAGGCUGGAGUCCGGCAGGGGAGACUGGAAUUCCUGGUGUAGCGGUGAAAUGCGCAGAUAUCAGGAGGAACACCGGUGGCGAAGGCGGGUCUCUGGGCCGGAACUGACGCUAAGGAGCGAAAGCGUGGGGAGCGAACGAGG